rnacentral:rRNA from 1 species
GACGAACGCUGGCGGCGUGCUUAACACAUGCAAGUCGAACGGAAAGGCCCUGCUUUUGUGGGGUGCUCGAGUGGCGAACGGGUGAGUAACACGUGAGUAACCUGCCCUUGACUUUGGGAUAACUUCAGGAAACUGGGGCUAAUACCGGAUAGGAGCUCCUGCUGCAUGGUGGGGGUUGGAAAGUUUCGGCGGUUGGGGAUGGACUCGCGGCUUAUCAGCUUGUUGGUGGGGUAGUGGCUUACCAAGGCUUUGACGGGUAGCCGGCCUGAGAGGGUGACCGGCCACAUUGGGACUGGGAUACGGCCCGGACUCCUACGGGAGGCAGCAGUGGGAAAUAUUGCGCGAUGGGCGGAAGCCUGAUGCAGCAACGCCGCGUGCGGGAUGACGGCCUUCGGGUUGUAAACCGCUUUCGCCUGUGACGAAGCGUGAGUGACGGUAAUGGGUAAAGAAGCACCGGCUAACUACGUG